rnacentral:rRNA from 1 species
AUUGAACGCUGGCGGCAUGCCUUACACAUGCAAGUCGUACGGCAGGACGGGAGCAAUCCAGGUGGCGAGUGGCGAACGGGUGAGUAAUAUAUCGGAACGUGCCCAGUCGCGGGGGAUAACGCAGCGAAAGCUGUUCUAAUACCUCAUACGAUCUACGGAUGACAGCGGGGGAUCGCAAGACCUCUCGCGAUUGGAGCUGCCGAUACCAGAUUAGCUAGUUGGUGGGGUAAAGGCCCACCAAGGCGACGAUCUGUAGCUGGUCUGAGAGGACGACCAGGCACACUGGAACUGAGGCACGGUACAGAGUCCUACGGGGGGAAGUAGAGGGGAAUUUUAGUCAAUGGGCGGAAGCCUGAUCCAGCAAUGCCGCGUGCAGGAUGAAGGCAUUCGGGUUGUAAACAGCUUUUGUACGGAACGAAACAGCCCUUUAUAAAACAGGGGGCUAAUGACGGUACCGUAAGAAUACGCACCGGCUAACUACGUGCCAGCAGCCGCCGCAGUAA